CCCCGCUGGGGAGCAGCAGCGGCUCAGCCCGAGCUCCCGGAUGCACCAGCGGCUGCCUCUGACCCAGGAAGUUCAGCCUCCAAAAUGGUCAAAGUGAAAAUGAAAAGACAAAAAACAAUACAACAAUUUUUCCCCUCAAAGGCCUCAAAAACUAACCCUAGGGGAAGAACACAUCAAGAACCAAGAAUAUAUCAACAUGUCAUCUGAAGGUUCAAGUGGUAUAUCUACAUCUGACCAACCCAAAGCACAAAUACAGCUACCUACUGAAGAAACAGUGUCUCCAAAACCUAAAGGCAGUUCCCGAUGUUUGUCAGUCAAAGUGUUCCCAUUUAUUGAAGUUACUAAAGAUGGCUACUGGUGCACCUCUUGCAAAGAAGCUUACGAAGAAGGAAAGCUUCCCAAUGCUAUAAUUGGUAAAAGUGGAGGAGCUUUGUUUGUCAAACCAAUCAGCAAAGCCAAUGCUGACAAACUACGUGAAAAGGCUGCAAAACACCAGGCCUCUGGAGUGCAUCAACAUGCAGAAAGCCUUAUAAGCCCACUAUCAAAGCCAAUUUUAGAAGUACUUAAUGAGGCUGUUAAGAAUGCUGGAGACACAACACAGUUAAUGCGAACAAACAUGGCUGUGGCAUCCUACUUUCUAUUUAAGCAAGAGAUACCAAACACUACAAACUGGAGGCCAAUGUUAAGUGCAUUGUUAUUUGUUCAUCCUGAAGUUGAACACUGGUUCCGAACAAGACCAGCAAAUGCUCACUAUCUUUCUGCAAGAAACUCAACUGACUGGCUAGAAGCAUGUGGUGCAACCGUGAAAGACUCAACAGUUGAAAAAGUGAAGAACUCUCUCACCACAUUCAAAAAAUUUGCAUACAUAGCUGAUGAAUGCACUGAUGCAAAUGGGCAUCAAGUAUUAAGUCACGUUAUCUUGAUGUCAGGGGUAGGCCAGUAGAUGCAUUUCUAGAUGUUCAAGUUAUAGAAGACACAUCGUCUGCAUCUGUGACAAUCCACAUCUUAGAAGAGUAAAAUGCUUGUCAAUUGGACCCCAAACAGAUGGCUGCUUGUGCAUUUGAUGGAGCUGCAAACUUCUCUGGAAGACAUGGUGGAGUACAAGCUUUGCUCAGAGAAAAGUGUAACCCUAAUCUCUCCCAUACACACUGCAGAGGCUAUCUACUCCAACUAGCACUAGUACGAGCUGCAGAAUCUUCAAAAGACUUUAUAGCUUUUUUAAAUUUAAUGUCUUCAUUAUAUUCUUUUUUCAGCAAGAGUCCAAAAAGACUGAAUAUACACUGGGACUGAAGUUCAAAUUAGUCCAACCUGGGAAAACCCGCUGGCUUUCUCAUGAGUGAUCCUUGGCUGUUGUCUUAAAAUUACUCCAGCCUUUAUUACUGGCUUUGGAAAGUAUCCACCAAGACGGGAUGGAUCUAAGUAGUGAGGGUGGUGGAUUACUUUUGCUACUAUGUUCAGAGAACACUAUUGCCAUUCUCGCUCUCGUAAGUCUACUAUUGAAACCACUUGGGUCAUUAAACAAUGCCAUGCAGGCAUCUGCUACAAAAGUAGUAGAUCUUUGUCCAGUGAUAGAAGCCACAUUUGGAUCAAUCCGAGAGCUAUCCAUUGAAAAAGUACUGGAAGAAGCAAAGACUUCAGUCCAGAAAUUGUCUAAUGAAGGCAUUUAUAUUGAAUCCUUAAGUGAAGAAGACAAGAAGUGUUUGUUAAGACAACUGAAAAAGUACACAGACUUGAGUCUUAAAAAUCUACGACAGUGACUUCUAGAUUCUACUCAACCUCUACAUAGCUUUUACAGAUGCCUGUCCUAUAAAACACCAACAGUUGAGUGGAGUGUGGCACUACCAGCAAUGGGGCUGCCAUGUGCUCAGGACAGAAUAGAGAAUUUGAACACCGAGUGGAAUAUCCUAUGACGAAUGAAUGAAGAUUUGACUUCAACUUCUUUUUUUAUCAUUGUGUUCUGUUUCCUGAGAUGAAAAAAGUAGGAAUUCAUCUCUUGCUACUCCCAGUCACAGCAGCUACAGUUGAGCGUUCUUUUUCAUCAUUGAAUAGAAUUUUGUGUUCUGAAAGAAGUCGCCUUCUGCCUGAUCAUGUGAAUGAACUAAUGAGCAUAUCAAUUGAAGGAAUGGAAGUACUAGACACACGAGAAGCCACCAAAGAUGAAUGCAUUGCAUUCAAGAAGUUCAUUAACAGAGUUGUGCAAAAUUAUAACAAGAAACCAAGAAGGAUGUAGACGUAGUACUUCAUAGAAGGCUUGAGUAGCCAACUUUAUUUUGUGUGAUGAUUUUCAAACAUGAGUUAAAUCUAAUAAAAUGGUCAUGAAACAUUUUUCAGUUUUUACUAUGGUGCCAUACAACCCACCUUCACCCUCCCAGUCUCACCCCUGACACACACAUCCCUGUAAAUUCGAACACCUUCCCUAAUUUUAAUUCCUGGGGAAACCACUGUCUCUGUGUCUCUCUCUCUCUGCCAUGCUGUCUUCCUUCCUCCCCACUCCAUUCCUGCCGCCUUAGAGAGUGCGAGGCUGCAUUAACAACAAUGUGUUAACCCUUGAGGGCUCAGCCGAGUGCUAGUUCAUCAUUUAGCAGUAAGGCAUUCCCGGGAAAUAGCCCACCCUCUGACUUCCACCUCAACCAAGCCUCACAAUCAUCAUUGCUGUGUACAGUAUUAAAUUGUUUGUUUGAAACUUA